rnacentral:tRNA from 1 species
GAAAAUCCGUCGACUUUAAAAAUCGUGAGGG